rnacentral:rRNA from 1 species
UGGGGAAUAUUGUACAAUGGGCGCAAGCCUGAUCCAGCCAUGCCGCGUGAGUGAUGAAGGCCCUAGGGUUGUAAAGCUCUUUCACCGGUGAAGAUAAUGACGGUAACCGGAGAAGAAGCCCCGGCUAACUUCGUGCCAGCAGCCGCGGUAAUACGAAGGGGGCCAGCGUUGUUCGGAUUUACUGGGCGUAAAGCGCACGUAGGCGGGCUAUUAAGUCAGGGGUGAAAUCCCGGGGCUCAACACCGGAACUGCCUUUGAUAAUGGUAGUCUUGAGUUCGAGGAAGGGGAGUGGAAUUCCGAGUGUAGAGGUGAAAAUCGUAGAUAUUCAGAGGAACACCAGUGGGGAAGGCGGCUCACUGGCUCGAUACUGACGCUGAGGUGCGAAAGCGUGGGGAGAAAACAGG